rnacentral:rRNA from 1 species
UGGGGAAUAUUGGACAAUGGGCGAAAGCCUGAUCCAGCCAUGCCGCGUGUGUGAAGAAGGUCUUCGGAUUGUAAAGCACUUUAAGUUGGGAGGAAGGGCAGUAAAUUAAUACUUUGCUGUUUUGACGUUACCGACAGAAUAAGCACCGGCUAACUCUGUGCCAGCAGCCGCGGUAAUACAGAGGGUGCAAGCGUUAAUCGGAAUUACUGGGCGUAAAGCGCGCGUAGGUGGUUCGUUAAGUUGGAUGUGAAAUCCCCGGGCUCAACCUGGGAACUGCAUUCAAAACUGACGAGCUAGAGUAUGGUAGAGGGUGGUGGAAUUUCCUGUGUAGCGGUGAAAUGCGUAGAUAUAGGAAGGAACACCAGUGGCGAAGGCGACCACCUGGACUGAUACUGACACUGAGGUGCGAAAGCGUGGGGAGCAAAACAGGAUUAGAUACCCUGGUAGUCCACGCCGUAAACGAUGUCAACUAGCCGUUGGGAGCCUUGAGCUCUUAGUGGCGCAGCUAACGCAUUAAGUUGACCGCCUGGGGAGUACGGCCGCAAGGUUAAAAGC